GAGUUUGAUCCUGGCUCAGGAUGAACGCUAGCGGCAGGCUUAACACAUGCAAGUCGAGGGGUAACGGGGAAGCUUGCUUCCGCCGACGACCGGCGCACGGGUGCGUAACGCGUAUACAAUCUACCUUGUACUGGGGUAUAGCCUUUAGAAAUGAAGAUUAAUCCCCCAUAGUCUCUUAGAGUGGCAUCACUUCUAGAGUAAAGGUUACGGUAUAAGAUGAGUAUGCGUUCUAUUAGUUUGUUGGUGUGGUAACGGCACACCAAGACUACGAUAGAUAGGGGCCCUGAGAGGGGGAUCCCCCACACUGGUACUGAGACACGGACCAGACUCCUACGGGAGGCAGCAGUGAGGAAUAUUGGACAAUGGAGGCAACUCUGAUCCAGCCAUGCCGCGUGCAGGAAGACUGCCCUAUGGGUUGUAAACUGCUUUUAUACAGGAAGAAACACCUCUACGUGUAGAGGCUUGACGGUACUGUAAGAAUAAGGAUCGGCUAACUCCGUGCCAGCAGCCGCGGUAAUACGGAGGAUCCAAGCGUUAUCCGGAAUCAUUGGGUUUAAAGGGUCCGUAGGUGGAUAACUAAGUCAGAGGUGAAAUCUUGCAGCUCAACUGUAAAAUUGCCUUUGAAACUGGUUAUCUUGAGUUAUUAUGAAGUAGUUAGAAUAUGUAGUGUAGCGGUGAAAUGCAUAGAUAUUACAUAGAAUACCAAUUGCGAAGGCAGAUUACUAAUAAUUAACUGACACUGAUGGACGAAAGCGUGGGUAGCGAACAGGAUUAGAUACCCUGGUAGUCCACGCCGUAAACGAUGGUUACUAGCUGUUUGGACUUCGGUCUGAGUGGCUAAGCGAAAGUGAUAAGUAACCCACCUGGGGAGUACGUUCGCAAGAAUGAAACUCAAAGGAAUUGACGGGGGCCCGCACAAGCGGUGGAGCAUGUGGUUUAAUUCGAUGAUACGCGAGGAACCUUACCAGGGCUUAAAUGUAAGUUGCAUUAGCUAGAGAUAGCUAUUUCUUCGGACCACUUACAAGGUGCUGCAUGGUUGUCGUCAGCUCGUGCCGUGAGGUGUCAGGUUAAGUCCUAUAACGAGCGCAACCCCUGUUGUUAGUUGCCAGCGAGUCAUGUCGGGAACUCUAACAAGACUGCCAGUGCAAACUGUGAGGAAGGUGGGGAUGACGUCAAAUCAUCACGGCCCUUACGUCCUGGGCUACACACGUGCUACAAUGGUAGGUACAGAGAGCAGCCACUGCGCGAGCAGGAGCGAAUCUAUAAAACCUAUCACAGUUCGGAUCGGAGUCUGCAACUCGACUGCGUGAAGCUGGAAUCGCUAGUAAUCGGAUAUCAGCCAUGAUCCGGUGAAUACGUUCCCGGGCCUUGUACUCACCGCCCGUC
rnacentral:rRNA from 1 species